rnacentral:rRNA from 1 species
UGGGGAAUAUUGCACAAUGGGGGAAACCCUGAUGCAGCGACGCCGCGUGAACGAAGAAGGUAUUCGUAUCGUAAAGUUCUGUCCUAUGGGAAGAUAAUGACAGUACCAUAGAAGAAAGCUCCGGCUAAAUACGUGCCAGCAGCCGCGGUAAUACGUAUGGAGCGAGCGUUGUCCGGAAUUAUUGGGCGUAAAGGGUACGCAGGCGGUUUAAUAAGUCGAAUGUUAAAGAUCGGGGCUCAACCCCGUAAAGCAUUGGAAACUGAUAAACUUGAGUAGUGGAGAGGAAAGUGGAAUUCCUAGUGUAGUGGUGAAAUACGUAGAUAUUAGGAGGAAUACCAGUAGCGAAGGCGACUUUCUGGUCAUCAUCUGACGCUGAGGUACGAAAGCGUGGGUAGCAAACAGG